GAAGGCUACACAUGCAAGUCGAGGGGCAUCACAUGAAGCAGCAAUGCGGAUGGUGGCGACCGGCGCACAGGUGAGUAACACGUAUGCAACCUGCCUACAACAGGGGGAUAACCCGUUGAAAGACGGACUAAUACCCCAUAAUACAGGGGUCCCGCAUGGGAAUAUUUGUUAAAGAUUAAUCGGUUGUAGAUGGGCAUGCGUUCCAUUAGCUAGUUGGUGAGGUAACGGCCCACCAAGGCAACGAUGGAUAGGGGAACUGAGAGGUUUAUCCCCCACACUGGCACUGAGACACGGACCAGACUCCUACGGGAGGCAGCAGUGAGGAAUAUUGGUCAAUGGACGCAAGUCUGAACCAGCCACGUCGCGUGAAGGAAGACGGCCCUACGGGUUGUAAACUUCUUUUGUAAGGGAAUAAAGUGUAGUACGUGUACUAUUUUGCAUGUACCUUACGAAUAAGGAUCGGCUAACUCCGUGCCAGCAGCCGCGGUAAUACGGAGGAUCCGAGCGUUAUCCGGAUUUAUUGGGUUUAAAGGGUGCGCAGGCGGGAGAUUAAGUCGGCGGUGAAAUUUUGCAGCUCAACUGUAAAAGUGCCUUCGAAACUGGUUUCCUUGAGUGUAGAUGAAGUAGGCGGAAUUUGUGGUGUAGCGGUGAAAUGCAUAGAUAUCACGAGGAACUCCGAUUGCGCAGGCAGCUUACUAAGCUACAACUGACGCUCAGGCACGAAGGCGUGGGGAUCAAACAGGAUUAGAUACCCUGGUAGUCCACGCAGUAAACGAUGAUUACUCGCUGUUUGCGAUAUACAGUAAGCGGCUUAGCGAAAGCGUUAAGUAAUCCACCUGGGGAGUACGUUCGCAGGAAUGAAACUCAAAGGAAUUGACGGGGGCCCGCACAAGCGGAGGAACAUGUGGUUUAAUUCGAUGAUACGCGAGGAACCUUACCCGGGCUUGAAAUGCAUCUGACAGGGGCAGAGACGCCCUCUCCCUUCGGGGCAGAUGUGUAGUGCUGCAUGGUUGUCGUCAGCUCGUGCCGUGAAGUGUCG
rnacentral:rRNA from 1 species